UGAACCAUGGGAGUUGGUAGGCAUGGACUUAAUUGGCAAGUUGUCCAUGACCUCUUCUGGUAAUCAGUACAUUUGUGUGUUCAACGAUUACUUUACAAAGUGGGUUGAGGCUCAUCCACUUACCUCCAAGACGGCAGAAGAAGUAACAAUGUGCAUUGUUAAAUUAUUUUAUCGUUUUGGGGCACCGAAAAGAAUUCUUACAGACCAAGGCAGGGAAUUUGUUAACCAGAUCAACAUAGAGGUCUGUGAACUCUUCGGCAUAAAACGUAGCCUAUGUUCACCGUACCAUCCACAAACCAAUGGGUUAGUGGAACGGAUAAAUGGCACGAUACAGAGAUUAAUGCCACAGUGGAAGAUAUGGUCCAGGCAGGACCUUGUAUAUGAGGCUGCGAAAAAUAAUAUGCAAGCCUCAAGGGACAAAAUAAAAGAAAAAAAACAAGCUUCCAGGACGGCAACCCACACUUUUGUUCCUGGUGAAAAGGUGCUCAGGAGGAACAUCCGAAGUCAACAAAGGAAAGGAGGGAAAUUAGAGGUUUUUUGGGACCUUUCACAAUCACAUCCAUAAAAGGCAAAAGUGCAGAUUUGAUAAAUGAGAAUGGUGUGUCAUUCUCAAAAAUAAAUUUUGAUCACUUGGUGCCAUUUGUGGACGAGGAAUCUCGAAUUCCUCACAGAAUCAGAGAGUAAGCCAGUCAACCAUCUGACAAAUAUUGUGAUCUUGAUUAUGUCCCCAGCACAGGGACUCCGGUCACCA